UGCUCUUCCUGGAGGAGGACUUAAACAUAAGUUUACGGUGGAUACUACUGAUACAUUUUGGUUUUUGGUAAGUAUACUAGUGAUACAUUUACUUUUGCUUUGAAAAUUAAAAUUCAAACUUGAACCGUGGAUGCAACAGCAGUAUCCCCGCGCAGUAUAUAAAACGUUCCUGCUGUUCUCGAUCCUGUCUAAUUUAACUUCUAGUUUCAUAACGAGUGCAGAGCUCGUCAUUUGAACUCACGGAACGGCCUUCCGAAGAAAGGAUCAUAUCUAGGAAUGAAUUAUGAAGAAGAACAAUAUGAAUAUUGAAACGACCUCCAAAGACUACAAUUGGCUUCUGAUUUGGUGCCAAGCGGCCGGAAUUUUGGUAGUGCUAGUUGAUUUUCUUGAAGAUGGUUCAUGGAUGUUUGUGUUGUAGUUGUCUCAAUAACAAUAUCUGGUAGGCAUUGCCUGCUGUUUGGCAGAGAAAUAAAAUAAUUGAAUUAUUGUGGAA